rnacentral:rRNA from 12 species
GUAGUCUUUGAUAUAAGACCCGAAACUAAGUGAUCUAACCAUGAACAGGCUGAAUUUAAAGCGGUAACGCUUAUUGAAGGGCCGAACUCGUGUAUGUAGAAAAAUACUGAGAUGAUUUGUGGUUAGGGGUGAAAGGCCAAUCAAACUUAGAGAUAGCUGGUUUUCUGCGAAAUCUAUUUAAGUAGAGCGUUUAAAAUUCUUUAUUCUAAGGUAGAGCACUCGAUAAAUAAAGGGGACGUAAAGUUUUACUGCAUUUAAUGAAACUCCAAAUAUAGAAUUAAAAAGAUUUUAAACAGACAGACUAUGAGUGCUAAGAUUCAUAGUCAAAAGGGAAACAGCCCGAAUUAUUUGUUAAGGCCCUUAAAAGUAAUUAAGUGAAAAAGAAAGUAAAAAAAUUUUAACAGCUUAUAGGUAGGCUUGGAAGCAGCCACCCUUUCAAGAAAGCGUAACAACUCAUUGGUUUAGUUUUUUAGCGUCGAAAAUGUAUAAGGACUAAAAUUAUUUGCCGAAACAAUAAAUUUAAACUAAUGUACAAAAAAACUUUUUUGUACAUUAGUUUAAAUGGUAGCAGAACGUUUUGUAUAUUUAAGAAAAUUUAUAGUUAUAUAGAUUGGAAAAAUCAAAAAUGAAAAUAUUGAUAUGAGUAGCGAUAAACGUGUAAGUGAAUAAAAAACUACGUCACCUUAAGUUCAAGGUUUAUAAGGAAAGGCUAAUCCUCCUUAUUGUUAAUCGGUCCCUAAGAUAACAACGAAAGUUCUAAUUGAUGGGUAAUAAUUUUUUAUUAUAUUGUAAAGUGACAAAAUAUAAAUUUAAUUUUUAUUGUAUCUAGUAAUCAAAAAAUUCCUUGUUUGACAAUUACUUUUGUGCGUCAUUAUGUUAACCUAACUAGAACAAGUAAUUGAGCUUUGAUUUUAGUUAAAAAUUUUUUAGUAUUUUCAAGAAAUAGCUUAAAAUAAUACCGUACUGUAAACCGACACAGGUGAACA